rnacentral:tRNA from 1 species
GCGCCCGUCGUUCAACGGAUAGGACAUGGGAUUGCGGAUCCCAAAAUAGAGGUUCGAUUCCUCUCGGGCGCACCA